CGGGUUGCGCAGGCUGUCAGGAAACGAGUACAUCCUCUCCACAAAGCAGCCCCACCACCUCCCCAGCCACCUGACGACGCCCCUGUCUUUAAACGACAUCCCCCCUCGUAUCGCUCAGACCAUGGAGACCGAGGACUCGUGGGACUUUGACAUCUUUAACUUGGAGGCUGCCACCUUGAAGAGGCCUCUGACUUUCCUGGGCCUGAAGAUCUUCUCCCGCUUCGGGGUCUGUGAGUUCCUGAACUGCCCUGAAGCGACUCUGCGCUCGUGGCUCCAAGUGAUAGAAGCUAACUACCACU